UGUGUACUCCCUCCGUUCCAAAAUACUUGACUUCCAUUUGUCCAAAAAUUGGAUGUGCCUAUAUACUAAAACAUGUCUAGAUACAUAUAUAUUUUGACAAAUAGAAGGCAUGUAUUGUGCAACGGAGGGAGUAGAAU
rfam:Triticum aestivum genome assembly, contig: Triticum_aestivum_CS42_TGACv1_scaffold_515049_6BS